rnacentral:rRNA from 1 species
UACGUAGGGCGCAAGCGUUGUCCGGAAUUAUUGGGCGUAAAGAGCUCGUAGGCGGCUUGUCACGUCGGGUGUGAAAGCCCGGGGCUUAACCCCGGGUCUGCAUUCGAUACGGGCAGGCUAGAGUGUGGUAGGGGAGAUCGGAAUUCCUGGUGUAGCGGUGAAAUGCGCAGAUAUCAGGAGGAACACCGGUGGCGAAGGCGGGUCUCUGGGCAGUAACUGACGCUGAGGAGCGAAAGCGUGGGGAGCGAACAGG